CCAGGCUGGAGUGCGGUGGCAGGAUCUCUGCUCACUGCAACCUCCGCCUCCCAGGUUCAAGCGAUUCUUCUGCCUUAGCCUCCCGAGUAGCUGGGAUUACAGGCGCCUGCCACCAUGCCUGGCUAAUUUUGUGUUUUUUGCGGUUCACGAGGUCAGGAGAUUGAGACCAUCCUGGCUAACACAGUGAAACUCCGUCUCUACUAAAAAUACAAAAAACUAGCUGGGCGUGGUGGUGGGCGCCUAUAGUCCCAGCUACUCAGGAGGCUGAGGCAGGAGAAUGGCAUGAACCCAGGAGGCGGAGCUUGCAGUGAGCCGAGGUCACGCCACUGCACUCCAGCCUGGGCAACAAGAGCAAGACUCCAUCUCAAAAAAAAAAAAUAAUAAUCUGGAAAACCUCUUCUGGGGGCUCUUAUAAAAGUAGAUUUGUCCAAAUUGACUUCUGAUCUGAGGCCAGAGACAACCACAGGGCAGAGCUGGAGACUGGGCUGUUUUGAAGGAAGAAGGACUGGCAGACCAGCUCUUGGGAAAGCUCCAUUAUUGCCUGUGGGAGGCUGGACCUGAACUUGCACCUAUGAACAACCCUGCCAUUUAGAGCUUUUUCCUGGGGGUGCCGGCGGCUGGUGACCAGACUGCCAUUCUCCACGUUCUCCCUGGUGCUUCCGACUCUGUCCUCUAGGUUGGAAGUGGUUUGUGUAAACGGGUGAUGGGACCAGGUCACAUCAUUUCUGCAUUUAAGACAGCAGGAUACUUCCUGGGGCUGAGGUUCAAACUGGUAUUGUGACCACCGCUUUGACAGAAUUCCAUCUUCCCAGCAUGAUCACAUUGUAAGACUAUUAGGAUGUGUGGGUUUUAACACUUAUAUACACUUAUACAACUGUUGGUUAUCAUUGUCUUUAGUAUUUUACAGUGGCCCCUCAGCACCUCUUAGACCCAACAGCAAAGGACUUAAAAUAAGCACAGGAAACCUUGCUAUGGUGAUUAGUUUUGAUACCUUUGAGACAAUUGAGUCUAGCUUCUUAGUUGCCCCUUAUUUAUGUUGAAAUCUGGCUCAUUCAUAUGAUGUUUUACUGUGCUGGCCUUGUAAAGAAUUUUAAGACAAUCCAUCACCAUCAAUGUUUUGCCUUUCUCCACUUUCGUGUAUCUUACAGUUAUACUCACUGGAGGUCAUUUGCAGCAAGGCUCUGGAAGAAUGAAACUGGUGCCCUGUAAUUGCAUUUGCAUUCAAUCUAGGUUUGCCUUCAGGCUUUAAAUGCGGCCUGUAUGAAGGUCAAGUCUUUUUCUUCAGUCCCUAUCAGUAAAGAAAAAUCGUUGCCUCUAGAGGGAGCUAUCAGCUGUGGGUCAGGUGGCCGUACUGGGGCUAGAGUUGGCCCAGGAAGCUGUACAGGGUUUAGGGAAGGAGGUUCGGAGACAGGGAGCCAAGGCCUCUGUCAGGUCUAGCUUGUGCCGGUCAGACCUGCAGCAGCACCAUUCUCCAGGAUGACAAUUCAUCCCAUUAUUGAUGGCAGUGGCCUUUUUAUCCUUUUUUUUUUUUUUUUUUUUUUUUGAGAUGGAGUUUCGCUCUUGUUGCCCAGGCUGGAGUGCAGUGGCGCAAUCUGGGCUCACUGCCACCUCCGCCUCCCGGGUUCAAGUGAUUCUCUUGCCUCAACCUCCCGAGUAGCUGGGAUUACAGGCAUGCGCCACCAUGCCUGGCUGAUUUUCUAUUUUUAGUAGAGAAGGGGUUUCACCAUGUUGGCCAGGCUGGUUUUGAACUCCUGUCCUCAGGUGAUCCACCUGCCUUGGCCUCCCAAAGUGUUGGGAUUACAGGCAUGAGCCACCGCACCCGGCUGGUGGCAGUGGCUUUAAGGGCAUUUAGAAGAAGGACAAGAUUGGACUUUUUAUCAUUUCCACAGUCUGUUAUGGGUCAGAUUAGGUAGUAAGGAGUUCUCCAUUGGAGCUAUUCUUUUUUUUUUUUCUUUUUUUUUGAGACAGAGUCUCGCUCUGUCACCCAGGCUGGGGUGCAGUGGCACGACCUUGGCUCACUACAGCCUCUCCCCUCCCGGGUUCAAGUGAUUCUUCUGCCCCAGCCUCCCAAGUAGCUGGGAUUACAGGUGAGCGCCACCAUGCCUGGCUAAUUUUUAUAUUUUUAGUAGAGAUAGGGUUUCACCGUAUUGGCUAGGCUGGUCUCGAUCUCCUGACCUUGUGAUCCGCUUGCCUCGGCCUCCCAAAGUGCUGAAGCAAUUUCUUUUUUUUUUUUUUUUUUGAGACAGAGUCUAGCUCUGUCGCCCAGGCUGGGGUGCAGUGGAGUGAUCUCGGCUCACUGCAACUUCCGCCUCCCAGGUUUAAGCGAUUCUCCUGCCUCAGCCUCCUGAGUAGCUGGGAUUACAGGCGUAUGCCACCACGCCCAGCUAAUUUUUGUAUUUUUAGUAGAGACAGGGUUUCACCAUGUUGGUCAGGCUGGUCUCGAACUCCUGACCUCGUGAUCCGCCCGCCUUGGCCUCCGAAAGUGCUGGGAUUACAGGCGUGAGCCACUGCGCCUGGCCUGAAGCUAUUCUUUACAAAAGCUCUUAGUUUUUGUUUGUUUGUUUGUUUUUUUCUUUUGCGACGGACUCUCUGUCGCCAAGGCUGGAGUGCAGUGGCCUGAUCUCAGGUCACUGCAACCUCUGCCUCCUGGGUUCAAGCGAUUCUCCUGCUUCAGCCUCCCAAGUAGCUGGGAUUACAGGCGCCUGCCACCACACCCAGCUAAUUUUUGUAUUUUUAGUAGAGAUGGCGUUUCACUUUAUUGGUCAGGCUGGUCUCGAACUUCCAACCUCAGGGGAUCCGCCUGCCUUGGCCUCCCAAGGUGUUGGGAUUACAGGCAUAAGACACUGUGCCUGGGCCUCUUAGUAAUUUUUGUAUGUAAUUUUCAAAGUAUCCGGGAUUACAGGCGCCCGCCACUACACUAGCUAAUUUUUUUUGUAUUUUUAGUAGAGAUGGGGUUUUACUAUGUUGGCUAGGCUGGUCUCGAGCUCCUGACCUCGUGAUCCGUCCACCUUGGCCUCCCAAAGUGCUGGGAUUACAGGCGUGAGCCACCGCGCCCGGCCUAGGUCAUUUGUUUUUGGGUUUGGAUGGCAAGAUCAUGGAUAAGACAGCAGGCUUUGAUUAUAGAGCUCUGAGUUCAAAUCCUGGCUCUACCACUUGUCAGUGGUGUAACUUGGAGGAAGAUGCUUAGCCUGAGCCUGUUUUAUGUUUUGAAGAUUGGGUAAUUGUCCUUCCUUCAGUGUUCCUGGGUGAGGAGUAAGUGAAGUCAUGUCUAUAAGAGAUGUAGCACAGUCUCCGGCAUGUAGAAACGGUCAGUAACUCCUAGUGUGUAGCUAGCCUCUGAUGAGAUGGUAAACUCAGGAGGCUGGCACCACGGCUGUGCUACUCACGGUCAUGCUGGAGGGAUGCAGAAACUAAAUGAAUCCACAGCUACUUACUCAUCUUGCCUCUGGCAGGUUCACCUUAAAAUUGUUGCUACCAAGCUUCCUGUGGUCAAAGAGCCCUUGAGGAAGCAAGCUCCACGGCCACCAUAGAUAACCCAUUCCUGAAAGUUUUUCAUAAACCCCCACUUGUUGCUUUUAAAAUUUUAUAAGCAGCUUACACAUGUAGAAAAUGAUCCUCCAGCCCACCACCACAUAGUAAUCACUGACACUGUGAGGUGUCUCAGCUGGGGUUCUGCUGUGUGUGUGUGUAUUUUACAAAAUAUGUAUGGUUUCUGUUCAGCUCUUUUCAGUUAACAGAUGAACUUUUGUAUCAUUAAAUAUUUUUGAAAACAUGAAU
rnacentral:lncRNA from 1 species